CUAUAUUCAUGAAAGUUAUUUUAUCAUGUGGUGAUUUUUGUUAAGUUAUGUGUUUAAUCACUAACUUGUGACUAUGUUUAAUGCUAUGUUUAUGUCUUAUGUGUUAUACAAAUGAAAUGGUAAGUGUUUAAUAUGAAUUAAGAUAUGUUAUGAGAUGGAUGAUAAAUCCAAUUGAAUCAUGCUCUAGUAUAAUGGUUAUUCAUGUCAAAUUCAUAUGAAUCAUGUUUAAAUGAACUAACAUGUAUUGUUGAUGUGUUUAAGCUUAUGUCAAGCUUGUGGAU
rnacentral:lncRNA from 1 species